GGAGUUGGAGAGUGGCUUAAC
rnacentral:miRNA from 1 species